rnacentral:lncRNA from 1 species
GAAAGAUGUGCUUGCUUCCCCUUCUGCUAUGAUCAUAAGUUUCUUGAGGCCUCCCCAGCCCUGCAGAACAUCUCACUCUGUUGCCCAGCCUGGAUUGCAGUGACAUGAUCACAGCUCACUACAACCUCAACCUCCCUGGGAUCAAGCUAUCCUCCCAUCUUAGCUUCCCAAGUCAUUGGGACUACAGGGAAUGUGCCGCUGUGCCCAGCCAAACUGGAUCUUCAGUAUGUUUAUGUAACUUUCCGGGAGCAGAGGUAGGGUGUUACAGAAAGGGCAUCUACUUUAGUACAAGCAGAGAGGCAAUACUUGUUUAAGAAAUAGGAGAAACAAAAUCUUAAUAAACAUGGAUGCUUUUGUUGAGAAGAAAUAAAAAACAAAGUUUUCCAGCUGAGGCUUGAUUAGAGAGAGAAAGAAAGCUUUCACAAAGCCAGGAA